GAUCCUGGCUCAGAAUGAACGCUGGCGGCAUGGAUUAGGCAUGCAAGUCGAACGAGAAAGCGUCUCGGACGCGAGUAAAGUGGCGAAAGGGUGAGUAACACGUGAGGAACCCGCCCCCCAGUCCGGAACAAUCCUGUGAAAACGGGCCUGAAACCGGAUGCCGGCCCACUCCGCAUGGGGUGGAGCCGAAACAUUUAUGGCUGGAGGAUGGCCUCGCGCCCCAUUAGCUAGUUGGCGGGGUAACGGCCCACCAAGGCUGCGACGGGUAGGUGGUCUGAGAGGAUGGUCACCCACACUGGGACUGAGACACUGCCCAGACUCCUACGGGAGGCUGCAGUCGAGAAUCUUCCGCAAUGGGCGCAAGCCUGACGGAGCGAUGCCGCGUGAGGGAAGUAGGCCUUCGGGUCGUGAACCUCUGUCGACGGGGACGAACGCAAUGACGGUACCCGUCAAGAAAGCCACGGCUAACCACGUGCCAGCCGCUGC
rnacentral:rRNA from 1 species